CACGACUCCAACCAGCCGAUAUGAUGUGACCACCAAGAUAGUCUCAGCUCAGUGAGAUCUUAGAGCAUGGGGAAUGAGCAUGAGUGAAGGAGAUAAGAUGCCAGCUUUACAGCAGGUACAGUAUAUGAAGUAACAGCGGAUGGUUGUUCAGAACGGACAAUGCAAUCUACACGUUGGCAGUGAACAGGUUUGAGUUAGCGAUGUAGGUACAGUGUUAACAAUGGAUUCUCAG
rnacentral:lncRNA from 1 species